GAUGAACGCUGACAGAAUGCUUAACACAUGCAAGUCGAUGGGGAAGUGGUGCUUGCACCAUGGCAACCAUGGCGGACGGGUGAGUAACGCGUAAGGGACUUACCUGCAGGACUGGGAUAACAGGGGGAAACUCCUGACAAGACCGGAUAAUGUCAUGGAGCUGCAUGGCUUUAUGAUGAAAGGAGACGCCUGCGGAGAGCCUUGCGUCCUAUUAGCUAGUUGGUGAGGUAAUGGCUCACCAAGGCGAAGAUAGGUAGCCGGCCUGAGAGGGUGGACGGCCACAAGGGGACUGAGAUACGGCCCUUACUCCUACGGGAGGCAGCAGUGGGGAAUAUUGGACAAUGGGGGCAACCCUGAUCCAGCAAUUCUGUGUGCACGAAGAAGGUUUUCGGAUUGUAAAGUGCUUUCAGCAGGGAAGUAGUAAGUGACGGUACCUGCAGAAGAAGCGACGGCUAAAUACGUG
rnacentral:rRNA from 1 species